rnacentral:ncRNA from 2 species
GCUCAUCCAGAGAGGUGGAGGGACUGGGCCCGAUGAAACCCGGCAACCGGCGUUCGACGUGCGGUGCCAAUUCCCACGGCAUAAGCCGGCAGAUGAG